AUAAAUAAUGAACGCUAGGUAUCCUACGGCGGUAAAUCCCGUAAAAUCAAGCGUACAUUGUGACUGAAAGUUUAAAAACUUACACAAUUCGCGAAUCUUCGUUUCGACUAAAAACAAUUGUUAUCGUUUUAUCAUAUCUAGAGUUAUUUACUUUAAAUAAUCUCGUUGUCGUUUGCAGUCGAAUAAAAUAAUGUCAAGAUAUGUGUCACAUACUCUAUAAUAAUAUAGACGUUUGGAUUUAGCAAUAGGUGUUGGUGACCGUGCUAGUGUAACUGCAAAUAGACUUGAAGGUGGUCAAUCUAAAUAUAUGCUACCUACAUUUAAAUUUGGGGGCUCGUUUAAAAAAAAAAAACAAUUAUUUUAUACUUUAAAAGUUUAAAGAUAUUAUGAUGAAAUAAAGAAUUUGUAGAAUUUCAUUUUAAAAAUGUUUAUAUUGUAAGUUAGGUAAUCUUGUCAUGCUAUUAAUAAAAUAUCUUAUAAUGUUUACAACAAUCGUAAGUGAUUUGAUAACGUUCCAUGUUAUAUUUAUAGGUACAUUGUUUCCAGCGAGCUAUUUUCAAUUUAUUUUUAUCUCUUAGUCUUAUUUUUUUCUCUUAGUCUACAAAGUGUGAGUAAUAUUUGUAUAACCUUUUACCCCUAUUUUAACAUUCAUGCAGGAUGAUUUUUGAAAGCUCGCUCUGAGCUCUCCUGUUGCAAAAGGGUAGUCCUUUUACUCGAAUUUAUGCUUUUACCGUUUCAAAUUCAGUAGCUCAACAUACUUUCUAGCCAAUACUCUAUACUUUUUAAAUAUCUCAUAAAUUGUAAGGCAGAGUAGUGAAAGUAUUUCAAACAUAUUGUUCAAAAAAUUAUUUUCAUAUUUGCUGUCGUGCUUAUUAACAUUUAAAUUUCACGUUUAAAAAGUUUUGUUUGUUAACUAAACUAGUAAAAUAACAGUAGCGACAAAUAUUACUUUUCCUUUGAAUUCACUGUGUAUCGUACGGCGUACCUGACACAGGUCGCACCGUUUAGAUCCCAUGCAACCUGCUAAUUGCUAGCUAGUGAUUAGCUUCAUUAAUUUUUCGUGAUAACAUCUGGCAAAGACAAAGAAAUAACUUAUAACUUUUAUUUGUUAUUAUCCAUGAUAAAGCGAUAAAAUAUUGGAAGCCAUUUUGUAAAACGUGGAAGUAAAGUGCUGAUAUCAUUAUCUAUAUACCUAUAUGGUAUCUCUAAACGUAAUUUUGUUGUUAAUGGAUUUUUGUAAAACUGUCAAAAAAAAAGAUUAUUACGGUGCCGAGGACCAAAACUUGUGAAAUCUAGUUUUGUGUCUAAUGCUUUCUUAACUAUCGGCAAAUGACUCGCGUUUUUUAGAUUAAUUUAUUAUACUAUCACGAACUGAAAUCCAUUUAGCUUGAAUACCAUUAGGCGUAUUGAGUAUUGAUUGUAUUUUAUUAUUAGUAAAUUAGUUUAAUUAAACCUUCUAAAUCACAAGGCAUUGAAAGAAAA